UACGUAGGGUGCGAGCGUUAAUCGGAAUUACUGGGCGUAAAGCGUGCGCAGGCGGUGAUGUAAGCCAGAUGUGAAAUCCCCGGGCUUAACCUGGGAACUGCAUUUGUGACUGCAAGGCUGGAGUGCGGCAGAGGGGGAUGGAAUUCCGCGUGUAGCAGUGAAAUGCGUAGAUAUGCGGAGGAACACCGAUGGCGAAGGCAAUCCCCUGGGCCUGCACUGACGCUCAUGCACGAAAGCGUGGGGAGCAAACAGG
rnacentral:rRNA from 1 species